rnacentral:rRNA from 1 species
ACGAACGCUGGCGGCAUGCCUAACACAUGCCAGUCGAACGAGACCUUCGGGUCUAGUGGCGCACGGGUGCGUAACGCGUGGGAAUCUGCCCUUGGGUUCGGAAUAACUCGCCGAAAGGCGUGCUAAUACCGGAUGAUGACGUAAGUCCAAAGAUUUAUCGCCCAAGGAUGAGCCCGCGUUGGAUUAGCUAGUUGGUGAGGUAAAGGCUCACCAAGGCGACGAUCCAUAGCUGGUCUGAGAGGAUGAUCAGCCACACUGGGACUGAGACACGGCCCAGACUCCUACGGGAGGCAGCAGUGGGGAAUAUUGGACAAUGGGCGAAAGCCUGAUCCAGCAAUGCCGCGUGAGUGAUGAAGGCCUUAGGGUUGUAAAGCUCUUUUACCCGGGAUGAUAAUGACCGUACCGGGAGAAUAAGCUCCGGCUAACUCCGUG